UGUAGUUUCUAAUUUAAUUUUAUAUAAUACUUCAUUGACAGAUCAUAGGUCGAUGCCUGCAACGUGUUGCUACGUGUAUGUAUGUGGUUUCUUAUUUUUCCACGUUUCAUUGACAGUUCAUUUCCUCACCACCUCCCAUGCCCAACCACAUAAUUUCCUUCCACCGCUUUCAAUUUCUUCCUGGGUUAGAAUGGUAUUGCCUUCUAACUGAUCUUUAUUAAUCCUCUUUCUCUCCACCGGUCGCCUCCUCCUCCCUCUCACUCCAUCUCCUAUAUGCAACUUCUGCCUGCCUCCCUUCGACGGCGGUGGUGACACCCACGUUCUCCAACCUCGAUGACUUCCUCCAACUCGCACAUUUACUCAAAAAAUUCUCACCGUUACUCAAAAAAAUUCAUCAACGGCGUGGUCUGCUACAGGGGGCGUCCGCUCAGUCAUUGGUCUCCCAUGAAGAUGAAGAUUGUAGGACGUAGCUGCUUACGCCGACGGUAACAAAGAUUUGAUGUUCGUGAUUUUAUCUCUUUUUGGGACUACACGAUAUAUUGCUUACUCAUACCGCACCCUUCUAAUCGUCACCGUCUUCUCCGUCGUCUCCGGCAGUUUAGCAUUCGAUUCCAAUACAACAUGACCGGAGUAAUCCUUAAUCACUUCAAAAAUUUUAAUGGGUGUUCGUAAUUUGAAGAUUUCGCCAUCGAUCUUCAUCACUUUGGCCUUCUUCUUCCCUCCUUCGACAGCUGACCAACAAGAUUUCAACAUUUGGAUGUCAAAGCUCAAGAGGAAACAAGUAAUAAGUAGUCAAAAUCAUCAAUUUCCAUCUAUUACAUCAAAUUUUGCUUCUUGGUUAGUUCUCAUUUGCUAAAUAAAUAUAGUUGUACUCUAUUAAGCAUUUAAUAUUCCAAUUUUUUAUAACUCUUUAAAUAUCAAGAUUCUUUUGUUUUCAUGAGUUGAGACGUAUUGACAAGGUUAAGAGGGUUAAGAUGGUGGAUGGUGGCUGAUGGUGGCAGCUGCAUAUGCUUCAAAUAUUGAAAAAAUUAGGUCUGAAUCUGGGUUUGAUCAUUUGUAAGAGGCUUAUUAGAAGAUGAAGAUGGUGAUGAUUACAUUGCUUCAUAGUCUUUACAAAUAUUUCUAAAUUUAAUGAUGAUUUUGUUCAGGUCCCAAAUGGAAGUACAAAUUGAUCAAUGGAAGAUUCAGGAGGCAUAUAGUUUUAAUUAUGAUUUUUAGGAAUCAGUUCAUCAUCAUCAAAAUGGAUUUUUUUGUAUAUGGGCUUAAUAUGGACCAGACUUCCUCCCUACAAAUGUUUUUGGUUUUAAGUGUGAUCGCUUUAUGUCAUGUUCUUUGAUUAUGUUCCAUAUUUUCUAAUACGUUCACUUAACUUGAUUAAUUUUUUCAAUGUUCUUAAAAGUCAUUAAUUUUGUUUAGAUUUUUUUUCAGGGUAAUAGGCAAUCCCAUGCGUUUUUUAAAGGACUUUGGGGCUUGGCAUCAAUGAUUUUGACCAAGAAAUAGUUAAGUUUGACAACUAAAAAAUCACAUUAUGUUUUGAUAUUUACUAUUUUAAUUUUGAUUUUUUGGUUGUAGAUCUUCUCUCAAAUGUUUAAUCCGGACGACAGUUACGGAUCUCUGCCCUCUCAUCCAGUCUGUAUACCCAGACAUAAGUUUUUUGGUUAAAUACCAAAUUGGUUUCAUCAAAGUUUUGUAUUAAAGAUUAUUCAUCUACAACCCUUGAUGAGAGCCGAGGAGUGCAGGUUACUAAGUCAAGUGACACUAGCCCAAGAGAUGCAUCUCCAGUUUGUAAAUUUGUGAGUGUGAAUAGAAGAAUGUUUGUUAAAACAUUUAAAAUAAGUUAUAAAAAGUGUUGGAAUUGCAAUUAGUAACAAAUAGCUUAGACUGAUGUAAUUUUCUAGGAAAAUGCUCUCCCAAAUGUAUCUACAAAGUAAAUGUGAUGGACUCUUUGGCGUGUCCAACCCCGCAAAGCGGGGAUUCUUCCCUAGUUUGGAUGACAAUUGUUUGAACUUCG